UACGUAGGGGGCAAGCGUUGUCCGGAAUCAUUGGGCGUAAAGAGCGUGUAGGCGGCUUGGUAAGUCCGCUGUGAAAGUCCAGGGCUCAACCCUGGAAUGCCGGUGGAAACUGUCAGGCUCGAGUCUGGAAGAGGCGAGUGGAAUUCCGUGGUGUAGCGGUGAAAUGCGCAGAGUAUCAGGAGGAACACCAAUGGCGAAGGCAGCUCGCUGGGACGGUACUGACGCUGAUGCGCGAAAGCGUGGGGAGCAAACGGG
rnacentral:rRNA from 1 species